CCGUCCUUAGCUCAGUUGGUUAGAGCACAGAGCUUAUACCUCUGGGGUCCUAGGUUCGAAUCCUAGAGGGCGGACCA
rnacentral:tRNA from 1 species